UACUGUAUUUAUUACAGCACCAAUACAGCCCGUUUGACAUUUUCAAAGAUAAUUAAAUUUUCUUUGUUGAAGCACACGCUUCACAACAUUUUCAUCAAAAUUCAAAAAAAAUUAAAACAAUGGGAGAGCAAGCACAACAAACACCGACAACAAGUCAGCCGGUUUCUUCUAUGACGUCUAUGCAGAAAGAACGGCAUUUGAUGAAAAGUACAUUUAAAAACUUGAAGAACAGCUCAUGAGUUUGGAAAUCACUAAAACUACGUUUGAAAAAGUUUUUGAAAAACUCGGUACGAGCACUAUUCUUCGAAUGAAAUUCUUCGAAUGAAAUGGCAAAAGCGGUUAAACAUCGGAAUGACACUGGAUGUGAUUCGGAUAGUGAAUCGGCAUCACUUCAACACGAAGCAAAGAAGCCCAAAAAAGUUGAAUCACCGACUGGGAAUAUGUAGUAUGGGAGGCAAUUAUGAUGCGGUUUCGACAACUGUCAGAUCAGUACAGUGUUUGUUGUACAACCGAAACAUGAAUUCCGAACAUUUUCAUUCACGAUUUGAAGCAGCCAAAGGGGCCACAAUGGCCGCAGACGAAGGUCGCAAAAUACCUUCAUAACUCACCAGGUUUCGAUCAGCCCAAUGUUAAGCCAAACCAAGCCUCCUUGCCAAAGCAAGAUAAACGGAUAGUUAAGUUGUUCGACGAAAAUCCAGGUAUGUCGUUGUGUUGAAUGGCUACGCCAUCUUAAAAUAGAGGUCUCGUACUCUACUAUCAAGAAAGGAUUAGAUGUCGCCGGUGUUCGUUAUCGCAGUACAAUGAAGAAACCCUUUUUGACAGAAAACCAGAAGAAAAACGCAUUGACUGGGCAAAGCAAAAUUCAACAAGAGAUUGGAGCGAAGUUAUAUACACUGACGAGUCAUUCUUUUGGCUGGCGAAUAGCACUACCCAUGCCUAGUCUAGAGCCAAAAAGAAAGUGGUCGUUCGCACGGUAAAGCAUCCAAAAAAGGUCCAUGUUUAUGGUUGCUUCUGUGAAACUGAUUUUGGAAAGUUGACCAACUUUAUUCAUCGACACUGUUACCCACCGGCAAGAAGUUCUAUGGCAACGGCAAUUCGAAUUGGCUUCUAUUAGAAGACAACGAUCCAAAACACAAAAGUCGUCUCUGCGUCGCUCGGAAAGAGGAAAAUGGAAUAAAACAAAUGAUCUGGCCACCACAGUCACCCGAUUGCAAUCCGACCGAAAAUGUUUGGGCUAUUAUUAAGGCAAGGCUUCGCAAUUUGAAGCAGCUCAGUUCAUUCAUUCAACGCCAGUGGAAAACAUCAAUGAAAAAAUUUAUCUCAACAUCGUGUGUUUCAUUUAAAUUU